GAAAUGCGAUAAGUAAUGUGAAUUGCAGAAUUCAGUGAAUCAUCGAAUCUUUGAACGCACCUUGCGCCCCUUGGUAUUCCGAGGGGCACGCCUGUUCGAGUGUCGUGAAAUUCUCAACUCAAUCCUCUUGUUAUGAGAGGGCUGGGCUUGGACUUGGAGGUCUUGCCGGUUGUGUUCCCUCGGGGACGUCGGCUCCUCUUGAAUGCAUGAGUGGAUCCCUUUUUGUAGGGUUUGCCCUUGGUGUGAUAAUUAUCUACGCCGCGGGUAGCCUUGCGCGUUGGUCUGCUUCUAACCGUCCUUCGGGACAUUUCAUCUCAACUUGACCUCGAAUCAGGCGGGACUACCCGCUGAACUUAA
rnacentral:rRNA from 1 species